CCGCCUCUUCAGUGGUUCUAGCGUUGAAUUCCUCGACCUGCAAGAUAGUCCGCGAUGCUCUCUGCUCUGCUCCUCAAGUGGAAGGUUCAUUUGCUUUGAUCACAGCAGCAUCAGGUACCUAAUUUUAUCCCAAAAAUGGCCACAACUAGGUGCUACUCAGGAUACAUUGAUAUUGGAUUAUUUUUGUAUAGAGAAUUGAUAGCCAGAUGCCUCGAUAAUAUAACUAUUGUCAAAUAUAAGAGUUCUGGUUAACUAACAAAAGAUACUUUCAGGCUGCGUAUAGACUUCUUUUCAACCUCUCUGUUUCAGAGCACAUCACUCAAUAGCAAUUGAAU
rnacentral:sRNA from 1 species